UACGUAGGGUGCGAGCGUUAAUCGGAAUUACUGGGCGUAAAGCGUGCGCAGGCUGUUCUGUAAGUCAGAUGUGAAAUCCCCGAGCUCAACUUGGGAACUGCGUUUGAAACUACAGGACUAGAAUAUGUCAGAGGGGGGUGGAAUUCCGCGUGUAGCAGUGAAAUGCGUAGAGAUGCGGAGGAACACCGAUGGCGAAGGCAGCCCCCCUGGGCUAACACUGACGCUCAGGCACGAAAGCGUGGGGAGCAAAAGGG
rnacentral:rRNA from 1 species